CUACGGGGGGCAGCAGUGGGGAAUAUUGGACAAUGGGGGAAACCCUGAUCCAGCAAUGCCGCGUGUGUGAAGAAGGCCUGCGGGUUGUAAAGCACUUUCGGUUGGGAGGACUGCUUCUAGCACUAAUAUUGUUGGAAGUUGACGUUACCUUCAGAAGAAGCACCGGCUAACUCCGUGCCAGCAGCCGCGGUAAUACGGAGGGUGCAGGCGUUAAUCGGAAUUACUGGGCGUAAAGCGCGCGUAGGCGGCUAGAUCAGUCGGGUGUGAAAGCCCCGGGCUUAACCUGGGAACUGCAUCCGAUACUGUCUAGCUUGAGUACAUGAGAGGAGAGUGGAAUUCCACAUGUAGCGGUGAAAUGCGUAGAUAUGUGGAGGAACACCAAUGGCGAAGGCAGCUCUCUGGCCUGAUACUGACGCUGAGGUGCGAAAGCGUGGGGAGCAAACAGGAUUAGAUACCCGCGUAGUC
rnacentral:rRNA from 1 species